rnacentral:lncRNA from 1 species
AGACGGAGUCUUUCUCUGUCUUCUAAGCUGGAGUGCGGUGGUGUGAUCUCAGCUCACUGCAAUCUCUGCCUCCCAGGUUCAAGCGAUUCUCCUUCCUCAGCCUCCUGAGUAGCUGGGAUUUUAGGCACCCGCCACCACACCCGGCUAAUUAUUGUAUUUUUAUUAGAGACAAGGUUUCACCAUGCUGGCCAGGCUGGUCUUGAACUCCUGACCUCAUGAUCCAUCCGCCUUGGCCUCCCAAAAGUGCUGGGAUUACAGGCCUGAGCCACCACGCCCUGCUGGUUUAUUUUAUUUUUUGGCAUGAAUACCACAGCUGGGAUGUCAUCUUCUCAAUGCAUAGUGGAGAUAUGCAAUGUCAGUCUGUCCAACUCCUGGUCCUGUUAGUUCAGGUGGUGGCAGCGGCUGCCGGGGCUUCUCCCCUACAUAGUUACUGUUUUCCCUUUGUCAUCCAUAAAUACCUUGGGGAGAUACUUCCAGACUAAGUGAAUGUCUGUUUCACUUCCAAGUUUUACCCACUUUUUUUUUUUUUUUUGAGAUGGAGUCUCACUUUUGCCGAGGCUGUAGUGCAAUGGCGCCAUCUCAGCUCACUGCAACCUCCGCCUCCCAGGUUCAAGCAAUUCCCCCGUCUCAGCCUCCCAAGUAGCUGGGAUUACAGGCACGCGCCACCAUGCCCAGGUAAUUUUUUUUAUUUUUAGUAGAGACGGGGUUUCACCGUGUUGCCCAGGCUGGUCUCCAACUCCUGAGCUCAGGCAGUCCACCUGCCUCAGCCUCCCAAGGUGCUAGGAUUACAGGCGUGAGCCACCGUGCCCGGCCUACCCACUAAUUAAUUUCAGCAUCCACUGGUGGGUCUUGCAAUGCAGUAAUUAUUAACUUAGUUUUCAAAGGUGAUUUUUGCAUUUUCCUCAUUCCUUUGACGUUUAUUAAUUGGAAUUCAUCUCUAAGAAAGAGCAGUCCCUUCAGCUUUUUUCCCUUUUUUUUUUUUGAGACAGGGUCUUGCUCUGCGGCUCAGGCUGCAGUGCAGUGGCUCGAUCACGGCUCACUGCAGCCUCGACCUCCCGGGCUCACGUGAUCUCCCAUCUCAGCCUCCUGAGUAACCAGAACCACAGGUGCUCACCACCAUGCCCAGCUGACUUUUUGUAUUUUUUGUAGAGAUGGGGUUUACCCAUGUUGCUCAGGCUGGUCUCAAAUUUUCGAGCUCAAGUGAUCCGCCCGCCUUGGCCUCCCAAAAGGCAUGAGCCACUGCGCCUGACCUACGAUUUCUUUCUUUAUAUAUCAGUAUGAACGCAAGGGCUGUUUGUUGGAUUCUGUGAGUCAUAAUCUGAUACUGUUUCCACGCUUUGGCCAUUGGGAGCUCCUGGAGAUUGUCUCCUGUGCCCUAUCCUUAUUUAAGCACUUGUUUAUUUUGGGAUGUCUUCAGUUUUCCUUGUCCCAGCUCUGCACCCAGCUGCUUCUCCAGGGAGCCCUCCCUCACUGGAGACUGGGAUUUAGCAACCAAGACCUGGGCACUGGCUGUGCUUGUUGCUUCUGGGCCCUCCUGGGACAGAGCUGGGAAGUGGAUCUAUGACACGUGCUUGUGCAUUUACCCGCCCUGUUGGUUUCUGUAGCUGUCUAGUUCCUGCUGUUCCUGUCUCACCUGCCCCUUUCCUUAUGUGUAGUUUCUUCCUGUGACAGGGAGAAACCUGGCUCUCAGAUUGACAGGACAUUCGCUUAGGCCAUGUCAGUGCUGUAGGUGAACUGUUCAACCUGUGCCCCAGGGAGGCGCAGUCACUAUGGAGGCACCUUACUUCCUUAAUCGUGUACUGUUGUUUUUGUGUUUGACCUGUAGCAUCUAAGUACUGGUUUCAAAAGUUGCCUAGAUGAGUUCUUUUCUUUCUUUCCACCUCCUGCAAAUUAUGUGAUUUGCAUAAUUUGUACAUAGUUAGGUUCAUUUGUUAGUUUGUAUUCCUUUUGGCUUCCCCCAUAUCCUCGUUGACUUUUUCUUUCUUUUGUAACUUACAUAUGUUAUGAAAUUUAUAUGAGGAUAUAUAAUUUUCAUAAAUGUUUAUGGUUUACAUGUAUUAGUUGUUAUUAUUAAGAUCACCCUGGGAUUGACUGGCCAAGCAUUUGGUGGAAGAUAGCAAUAAAUAAUACAUCAUAAAAGACUUUAAUGUAAAAAUAAAGCCAUGAAAGUACCAAGA